rnacentral:lncRNA from 1 species
UUUUUUUUUUCAAUAUUGAUCCCUCUCAUCUCCAGUUCUUUCUCUAUCAAGGUAAAUUCUCAUUGUUUGGUUAAGAUGCCAUACAACUCUCAACAGAAGAAUUAUAGUUCUAGCUUCCCUAAGUGUUCUACAAUGAAUUAGGUCACAACUGUAUCCUUAGCACUGACAUCAAGGGGAAAUGCCAUAGUUACCAGAGUUUGCAAGAGGCAAUGCCAUAACCAGGCAUCGUCUGUCUGCAAAGGGCUGGCAUCUACACCAUUUGUCUUCCUCCAUCAUACUGAAGAACACCACAAUAAUGAAAAAAUGGAACAACCUAAAACAUGGCAAUAGGAAGGUAGCACAGACUGAGUGAAACUGCCCCCUUUUGUUCAUGCUCUUCCCUCUGACCAGUUGUGAUUCCUCUGGCUUCUCUGGCUCCCUUCAGGAGUUCACAGGGGAACUGAAAAACUUUCCAAUAUCCCCAUUUUGGCAUUUCCCCAUUUAACACCUGUCUUCCCACUGGCCUAUGAGUCCACAAAGGAGGACACUAUGUUUAUCUUACUUAUCUCGUGUCCCCAAGGUCUAGCAGAAUUUCUGGUAAAUGGUCAAGUCUCAGCAUGUAUUUGUUAAAUAAAUGAAUACAUGAUUGACUGAAUGAAUGGAAAAGUGAUUCCUGAAGGAGACAGUUAAGCAAACAUAUAAUUCCAAUGUUGAGUGCUAUGCUAGAAGGAAAUAUAAAGCACCAAGGGAGCCCAGCAGAGGGUUACUGGAAUGCUAUGGAAUGAUAAUAGAAAGGUAUUUUAGGCAGAGGGAGUAGCCUGCACAAAGGGGCAGAGAUGUGAUAUGUAUAACAUGGACAUUCAGAAAAUGACAAUUCAUUGGAACUCAAGAAAGUACCUUCCACCUUCUUUCUUGGUUGACUUUCCUACUUGGAUUCACACAACUCCAGUCAAACAUGCUUCCACUCAGUUCUCAAAACAUGUCUGGCUCAUGUCAGACCCCAUAUCAUUGCUCAUGUUCCCCUACCCCUGUCUGCCCAUCUAAAUCUUGACCAGUCUGCAUAAGCCAACACCAUCACCAUUCUUUCAGAGCCUCCUUUAUCAGCUCUAUGUCCUGGGUGGCGUGGCCUGGAUCCCUCCUUCACAUAGUUGGCUAGUCCACAGCAGGGUGGAACACUCACUAUCUUCAUCUGCCAAGCUCCCACUGCACCUCAUCUCUCCUUCUGCUAUGGGCUGCCCUUCAUCCUGCAGUCAGACACCAGGAAACAGAAAUAUGAUACCAGGGGCGUUAAGCUGGUGUUUCAGAAAACAGUUUUCAUGGAACAGUGAGCUAAGCAUAUGAUCUUUAAAAGGAGGGUUUCCAGAUGAACUGUUAAUUCCAUUUUUAAUUUCUUUGAGGUUCCCUCAGGGACUGAGUGAUGGUGUUUUGUUUCUGAAUGAAGGAAAUGGAGUUUCUUUCUCCUUGAUCUGGAGGAGAUGGGAACUGCCAUUUAAAUCACCUUCUCCUUCCUGGCCCACAUGAGAGCAGAAAUUGGAGUUUUUGAAUACAAAGGGGGAGAUUUCCUUGGACCUAACCCUUUGCUUCCUUUCAUUCCCUGGGUCAAGGAAGAAAAUGAAGGGAAGCUAAUCUUAAAAUAUUUUUUUUCUGUCCUCCUUACCUGUUCAAUUUCAGAGAAGCUUCCUCUGCCUGCCUAAUUCCUUCUCAUGCUCCCACCUCCCUUUACUUUUCCUGGUUGCCCAUCUGUGCGGAAAUCACCCUCCUCUCUCUACAGCCAGAGCCUUUUUUUAACGCCUCCAUCUUAACAGCUCUCAUAGCCUGAGUUUAAUAAGACUCCAUUGUCUGCUCUUCUGAUCAGGAGAAGAGCCAUGAGCUCAGAAAGACCCUGGUUCUCAAAGUGGGCCCUGGAGGUGUAGCCUCAGUAUCACCUGGGAGAUUUGUUGAAAAUGUAAAUUAUUGCUGUUCUCCCUUCUCAAACCAGCUUCCAAAAAGACCUGAGUCAGAAACUCUGGUGGUAGGCCCAGCAAUCUGAAUUUUAGCAAGCCCCCUAGGAAAUUUGAAAGCCUGCUAAAGUUUGAGGACCAUUGCUAUAGGGGAAGGAAUCGGAAACUAUUCGUAUCUAGUAGAAUUCUGCCCUCAGUAAAUGUUUUGCUGAACAGAAUUAUUUAAUGAUACAUCCCCUAACAUGCUACUACUAAUAAUCUACAGUGGAAAAGAAGGUAACGUGAAGCAUAGAGAUGAGCUGUGUACACAAAACUGGCCCACUUCUCACCCUACUGGUGCAUGUUAAACCAUCAUAAAAUGCUUAGAAAGAUCAUUCCAGAUAACAGUAGGUGUUCAUUCCAAAUCAGUUGAUAACUGCUUUGUUUCUGAGACUUCCUGGAAUAUUGAUUGCCCACAAUUCUUUAGUAUUAAGGGUGGCAUUUGGUUGGACAGUUCUGCAACCUCUGUUUGCAUGGAUGCACUGUCCGGCAGACUGAGGAUGGAGGCUGCUGCACCCCAGAGCCCUGGUAGAGGAGACAGGCAACAACAGUGCUUAUUAUUGUAUGGACCCAACAUAAAGCAGGUCAAAAUCCUGUUCCCUAGAACACAAAAACUACCUAGAAUAAGAGCCUGAAAUAACAUAGCUCUCCUAUAAGCUAUUAUACUUUUCUUCCAAUAUCAACACUGCAAAGGGUUUCACUUUACUUCCCUUCCUUAUGAAAGACUCAUAGCAUCAAAACAAAAGGUAACAGCCCCCAACCUAGAGCCUUUCUACUGCAGGUUGUCCCUGAUAGUACCAUGUAUCUAUAAAUGUAUUUUUUUUACACAACCAGAUUUUAAUCACGCAAAUAGAAUGCUGUCCUGCCAGAGCAUUUCUUUUCUCCUUACUGCUUUUUCCUCCCCAUUGAAUUCCUUCCUUCCAUUUAGUUGCAUUUUACUUCUUCAAGGAGGGUCAGUGCAUUUUAAUCACAAUGUACAUUGGCUUGCUGGAGCUAUUGAUGAAAGAACUCAAAGCUCAGCCACUCGGCUCAUUUAGAUGUGAACUACCAAGUUCAAUGAAAGAAGCAAAGGGCAAAAUGAAAUUACACAGCCUUUUGGCUGAUCUCCCAUUUCUGUGUAUAAAGAGUCAUGGGAUGGCCUUCAACGCCCCAGAUUCUGGAACAAUAGUGCCCUAGAAGGAGUUCAUAUAAUAUUAAUAGCAUAUUAUUGAGUGAGAUAAAUAUAAAAUCCAAAUUUUAAAAAGAAAACUGACUUGGCAAGGAAAGAUGAUCAAAAGUCCUUUCUUAUUUCAAAAUAACAAUCAUAGCAAAGAAUAACUAACAUUUGUACAGUACUUUAUAGUUUAUCAAAUGCUCCUACAUCCAUUAAGUCAGUUAACCAGCAUGGUCAUUAUGGACAGCUGAGAUUUAUACAGAGCUUACGAUAUGCCAGGCGUUGCGCCGAAUGCCUAACGUGGAUUAUGUAACUUAGUAUUUGUAGCAACUCUCAUGUAGGCUCUCAUUUUACAUGCACCAAGACUGAGGUUAGGUGACCUACACUAGGUCACACAACUGGGAGGUGGUAAAUCUAAGAUGUGAGCCCAAGCACACUGAUGCUACACUAUUAGCAGCAUCAUCUAUGGGAACAAGACUUAGGCACUACUAAGUUAGCUGUUAUGGCCAGGACCACCCAGCAGUAAGCAGUAGAGCCUCAAGUAAGAACCCAAGUGUCCUCAUUCCCAGUUCUGGGCUAGCCCCUGCAACCUCUUCAUACCUUGUCCACAAACAGGCCCAAGCCGAGAGUCCUCACUGCCAACCCUCCACAGACAGAGCUCCUUGUGGGUAGUUGAACUUCCCUUCCAUAAUUAACACAGGAAAAAAAGAAGGAGGCAAAAUUGUGAAGAAAAAUAAAUAAGUGCCACUGAAAAAGAACAUAAAAGAGAAGCAAAGCAAAAGUCCGUGAGGAAGUGAGUUCUCAGAGUACAGCGGGAGACUCUGAAGACAGGAGAUGAAAUCUCUGUACUUGCUAAAUCCAGAAAGACCACACUGUACUAAAGAAUGGAGCUGGCCCCAACGAGCUUCCCAUACCAAGAAAUGCCAUUGCAGACAUUCCCUCCCAGCAACGUGUCCUUCUGUGGGAGCGUAGAAGAACAAGCAGACUUUGGCAUGGCUCCCCUGACCUCUGGAGUGUGGACUCUUUGAGGGCAAGGUCUCUGCCUAUAGCUGCAAGGCCUUGCACAAUGCUUGGCACAUUUGGAGCUCCCAAAAAGUUAUGUUGAAUGGAACUUUGCAGAAUGUAGCCGUUACUGUCAGCAAGACAUGAUGCUUUCACUUCUCUGCCUCAGUGUCUCAUCUGUAAAAUGGGGACAAUGAAAGCACCCCCUUUACAGGACUUUCCUAAAGAUUACAUAUGAUAUAAACAUAUCAUAAUCUGUUUAUGAGGCAUACAGCACAUUGUCUGGCCCUAAGUGGGUGUUCCAUAGCUGCUGGUUGAUGCCGUUGAAGUUAAUACUGGCAUCAAAUGAAGACAUGUCACUAUCCAGUACAAUUACUUAGACUACCUAGCCCAGUUUACUCAUCUUACAGAUGAGGAACUGAGGUCCAGAGAGGGAUGGGGCUCUUUCAAAGACACUCAGUGUUUAGCAAGGAAGGAAAAAGAAAACCAAGUCUACCUAUAACCUCCUCAUGCAAUGACUGUUUCCACUGGCAUGCUUCAUUGAUCUAAAGAGUAGAGUUUAGGUAGAAACAUCUGGCUUCCUAUCUUGGUCUGGGAGGGCAGCGGGCUGAAGGAGAUGAUUCAUAAUCAAAGCCAAUAACUUUAAUUGAGAACCUAUUAUAUGCUAGAUAUUUUCACAAAUACUACCUCAUUUACUGCCCAGACUAAGACUGCAAAAUGCAGGCAUAAUUGUCAAGUCCAUUUUGCAGCUGAGGAAACUGAGGGCUAGAUAUACUAAAUUAAAAGGCUACCCAGUCAACUAUCUAGGAAGUGCUAGAUUGCAAUCUAGGUCAACCUCACUCCAAAGCUCAGGUUCUUUCACUAAGACCCCUAUAGCUGGAGACUAAAAAAUAAAAUAAAAGAAAAAAAGAAAAGAAAAAGUCAAGUCAAAAGUGCCAAAGAAAGUUACUAUUCUUUUUGUUCCCAACAUAAGUAGAGUUUGAAGUUCAGGAAGCCAGGGAAAGUAUAGAGUCAUCACAUCCACAAAGUGGCCUCCCCAGCACAGGGAAAACUCCUGAUUCUGGGACCAAGCUCGUGUGCAGGCUGACUGCCUAUCUGCAACACACCUGCCACCAUCACCAACCACACGCACUAGUCUGAUUGCCUUUUGCCAGGACUAUUGCCUGUUGCCUACAUGGCCUCCUUAUUGUACUCU